GGAAGCCGGUGGGGACUUUCGAAGCUGGAAGCUUAGUGUUACCUGGUCUGUUCAGUCAGCUGCAGAGCCUCGUGCACAGCCUCGGGAAAGAUCCUCCGUGCCGUUGCCCUCUACAGCUAGUGAAAGCCUGAACUCUCUACUUGGCAGUGCCACUCAAAACAACCUGCUGCUUCCUUCAGGACUCCUCCCAAGGCAGAGAAAUUAGCCAAACUACCUACCUGGGAGCAACUCCCUCCUACUCAUUGUCAGGCUUCCAGAAGAUGUGGCCCAGAGGUAAAGGUGCGUCCUCCCAAUUCAAGAUCUGGAUUAAAGAUGUGUGUCUUCCUACCUCAAAGAUCCUGGCUAGAAGUCAAUUCACCAACUUCAGACCAAGGGAAAAUCUCUCAUUGGUGUGCCCUCCACAUCUGGAUUGUAGUUCAUCCCCAAUGUAGUCAAGUUGACAGCCAAGAAUAACCAUCACAGCUGCUAAAAAAGUAAGUCAAGAGACAGAGGGAAGUGUGACGGCUCCUAACUGAGUGGAUAGAGAAUGAACAGAUGACAGUUGUCUUCCUGGUGAGGCCAAGAGGGCAUAGAAUGUGUGUGCCCUCCUUUGGCUCAGCCUAUCCUAAUGCAGAGAACCUAUAAUCCCUUAGCAGUUAAAUCAGCCUUUGUCCAGUGUCUAUAAAAAUGUAAGACAAACAAAACAAAAAACAAAAAUUCUUGGGUUUUCCCCCCUCUCUUAGGCACCCCUUCUCCUCUCAGGAGUUUCAAUUUUUCUCAAUUUCUCAGUUUUCUGUAGUUCUUAUUAAUAAACCUUGCUUCUGUCUUGCUUA